rnacentral:rRNA from 1 species
UACAGAGGGUGCAAGCGUGUUCGGAAUUAUUGGGCGUAAAGGGCGCGUAGGCGGUGCGGUAAGUCUGUAGUGAAAUCUCUGGGCUCAACUCAGAGUCUGCUGCAGAAACUGCCGUGCUUGAGUGUGGGAGAGGUGAGUGGAAUCCCGGUGUAGCGGUGAAAUGCGUAGAUAUCGGGAGGAACACCUGUGGCGAAAAGCGGCUCACUGGACCACAACUGACGCUGAGGCGCGAAAGCUAGGGGAGCAAACAGG